AGGAAGCGAUUGUUAUUGAUGAUGGUGAAGACAAUGAUGAUUCGGAUUGGUUGGAAUUGCUCAAUUGCCUCCUAAGGUGCCUGUGUACAAGGAGAAGCGUUACGAGAAUUCGAUUAUUAAGGAGUUGAGGUAUAAUAAUUUUGUUAGAUUUGUUGGCCUAUCAAUCUUUGUUUAAUCUUAUAUUGGGUUUCCACCGGUGACCGUAUGGCGUUCUUCGGAGCAUUCUCCAAGUUAUCACUUGUCGGUGCUGGUGAUUCCUGAUCUAUAGUGAUGGUCGUAUUCCUGAACGACAUCUUGCACGUGUUAAAGAAGAAGUUGCCGCUUAAGUUAUUUAAUAUUCUUUUACCUAUGAUAUAACGAAUUAGAAAGCAACUUUGUUACAUUUUAUAACUGUUUAAUUUACAUACGUUGUUACCAUUUAUUAAUCUUUCUUAUUCA